AACCCACAGGGAUUGCUCAGUAACGGCGAGUGAAGCGGCACAGCUCAAAUUUGAAAUCUGGCCCUUUCAGGGUCCGAGUUGUAAUUUGUAGAGGAUGCUUCGGCGAGGGCUCCCGUCUAAGUUCCCUGGAACGGGACGUCAUAGAGGGUGAGAAUCCCGUAUGUGAUGGGUUGCUCGAGCCAUGUGAAGCUCCUUCGACGAGUCGAGUUGUUUGGGAAUGCAGCUCUAAAUGGGAGGUAAAUUUCUUCUAAAGCUAAAUACCGGCCAGAGACCGAUAGCGCACAAGUAGAGUGAUCGAAAGAUGAAAAGCACUUUGGAAAGAGAGUUAAAAAGUACGUGAAAUUGUUGAAAGGGAAGCGCUUGCAACCAGACUUGUCCGCAGUUGUUCAGCCGGUCUCCUGACCGGCGUACUCUUCUGCGGCCAGGCCAGCAUCAGUUCGGGCGGCUGGAUAAAGGCCUCGGGAAUGUGGCUCUCUUCGGGGAGUGUUAUAGCCCGGGGCGGAAUGCAGCCAGCCUGGACUGAGGAUCUCGCUUCGGCAAGGAUGCUGGCGUAAUGGUUGUAAGCGGCCCGUCUUGAAACACGGACCAAGGAGUCUAACAUCUAUGCGAGUGUUUGGGUGUCAAACCCAUACGCGUAAUGAAAGUGAACGGAGGUGGGAACCCGCAAGGGCGCACCAUCGACCGAUCCUGAUGUCUUCGGAUGGAUUUGAGUAAGAGCAUAGCUGUUGGGACCCGAAAGAUGGUGAACUAUGCCUGAAUAGGGUGAAGCCAGAGGAAACUCUGGUGGAGGCUCGCAGCGGUUCUGACGUGCAAAUCGAUCGUCAAAUUUGGGUAU
rnacentral:rRNA from 1 species